rnacentral:rRNA from 1 species
GGACCCCACUGCUAUCGGGGUGGGACUAAAACAUGCAAGUCGAGCGCCUUNCAAGCUAUGGUGAAGGCGCGGCAAACGGCUCAGUAAACACGUGGCCAACCUACCCUUGGGGACGGAGACAACCCCGGGAAACUGGGGCUAAUCCCCGAUAGGUAAGGAAUCCUGGAAUGGAUCUUUGCUGAAAGGGCGUCUAGACCAUGCUUCUUGACGUCGCCCAAGGAUGGAGCCGCGGCCGAUCAGGUAGUUGGCGAGGCAACGGCUCACCAAGCCUAUAACCGGUACGGGCCGUGAGAGCGGUAGCCCGGAGAUGGGCACUGAGACAAGGGCCCAGGCCCCACGGGGCGCAGCAGUUGCGAAAACUCCGCAAUGCGCGAAAGCGUGACGGGGCUACCCCGAGUGCCGCCCGUUGAGGGCGGCUUUUCCAUGGUGUAAGGAGCCGUGGGAAUAAGGAGAGGGCAAGACUGGUGUCAGCCGCCGCGGUAAUACCAGCUCUCCGAGUGGUGGGGACGAUUAUUGGGCUUAAAGCGUUCGUAGCCGGCUUAACAAGUCUUCCGUUAAAUCCAACGAUCUAAUCGUUGGGCUGCGGGAGAUACUGUUGGGCUAGGAGGCGGGAGAAGCCGACGGUAUUCCCGGGGUAGGGGUGAAAUCCUGUAAUCCCGGGAGGACCACCAGUGGCGAAGGCGGUCGGCUAGAACGCGCUCGACGGUGAGGGACGAAAGCUGGGGGAGCGAACCGGAUUAGAAACCCGGAUAGUCCCAGCUGUAAACGAUGCGGGCUAGGUGUUGGGGUGGCCAUGAGCCACUUCAGUGCCGCAUGGAAGCAAUUAAGCCCGCCGCCUGGGGAGUACGGCCGCAAGGCUGAAACUUAA